AUGAUCACCAAAGUUAAGCAAUGUUGAGCUUGAUCAGUACUUAGAUGGAUGACUGCUUGGGAAUACCAGGUGCUGUAAG